AGUUUCUCCAUCUCUCCUGAAUCCACAGAGCAGCUCAUCACCAUCUGCUCUCAGCUUUCUUUCAGUCAUGUGGAGAAAUCAGUCUCUAAGCUGAAAGAGAAACUAGAGGAAUUCUGCAAAGAAGAGAUUGAACAGAUAUCUGGCAGAGUGACAUACAGUGAAAUUAUUCCCCUCAAAGCACUGAAGACCAGGCCAGAGGUCCUGCAGCAUUGCAGGUUUCUGACUCUGGAUCCAAACACAGCAAAUAAACGCCUCCGUCUGUCUGAAGAAGACAGAGCAGCUACUUACACCGACACAGAUCAGCCGUAUCCUGAUCAUCCAGACAGAUUUGAUAGUUAUUCUCAGGUGUUGUGUAGAGAGAGUGUGUGUGGACGCUGUUACUGGGAGCUGCAGUGGAGUGGAGAUGAAGUGGAGAUAUCAGUGUCAUAUAAGAGCAUCAGCAGGAAGGGACGAAGUAAAGAGUCUGAGUUUGGAUGUAAUGAUCAGUCCUGGAGUUUGAGCUGCACUUCCUCCAGUUACUCAUUCUGGCACAAUAACAUAAAGACAGAUCUCCCUCUAGAGUCCAUCAGCAGGAGAACAGGAGAGUAUGAUGAUGAUG